rnacentral:misc_RNA from 1 species
UCGAGUUUACAACUCCCAAACCCCUGUGAACAUACCAUGUUGCUUCGGCGGCUGCCCUCGGGCGUCGUCGGGGACCUAUAACCAUUGUCUUAAUAUGAAUUAUCUGAAUCAAAAAACAAAUAAAUCA